rnacentral:tRNA from 1 species
GUUGACGUAGCUGAGAUGGUUCAAGGUGCAUGAGAUUUUUGAGAGGUCGUGGGUUCGAAUCCCACUUUAACA